UGGCUCCUCGGGUGAAUGGUUGCCAAGAGACGAGUAAAUCCUCAGCGGCUGGAAGGGGCGGGGUGCACAGGGAGGCAGCACUGAGCAAGCGCAACAGAGGGGGUGCUGGGGAAAAAGAUUCCUUCCCAGAUACAGUAUUUACAUCUCCUCCGCCCUCCUCUCCCAUCCCUGCCUGAAAUAAGUGUGGUCCUCCUGUCUGUCAGACUUUGAAGAGUUCUCAAAUACGUCUUUCCCAGUGAGGGAGAGGGUUUUGUUUUGUUUUUUUUAAUACACUGUGUUCUUUCUGCCUCAUAAAACUGGCAUCCUGGAGCUGGAAGGAGUCUUAGAAAGUGGCCAAGUUCUGCCCAUUGGACAUGGAACCACAUAUUGAAACUCUUCUUCCUGGAUUAUUGGUGCCUCCUUCUUGCCAAAUUCCAGCCCCUGCUGAGCACAUCCAAUCAGAAUGGUUUAAAGACCUUUUUUGCAUUCUGAGUGAUUCACUGGCUUCACUGAUUUAUACCUAGGGAAACCGAGGGACAAAACAGUCUUUAAAAUGCAAGCAUACCUCACUUGUAGUGAUGAUCCUGAAACAGUUUUCUGUCUCAAUAGAUUCUGAUUUUAAAUACUUCAGAAAAGCAAAGAAAUUCUAUCAUAGUCCUACUGUAAAUCAAGAAAGACCUUUUGUAUAGUGUCUAGUUAUCUCCUGAUCUAUCAGUUUCUUUGAGCUAUUUCUUAAGUCUUGAGUUUUUUUGUAAUAAAAACAUUACAAAUGUUUAUUCAAA